rnacentral:rRNA from 1 species
AACGAACGCUGGCGGCGCGUCUUAAGCAUGCAAGUCGAACGGCAAGAGAGAAGCUUGCUUCUCUCCUAGAGUGGCGGACUGGUGAGGAACACGUGGGUAAUCUACCCUUAAGAUAGGGAUAGCUGCUAGAAAUAGCAGGUAAUACCGAAUACACUCAGUUUUUCAUAAGAAGGAUUGAGGAAAGGAAGCUACGGCUUCGCUUGAGGAUGAGCUUGCGUCCCAUUAGCUUGUUGGUGAGGUAACGCCCACCAAGGCGACGAUGGGUAUCCGGCCUGAGAGGGUGAUCGGACACAUUGGGAUGAGAUACGGCCCAAACUCUUACGGGAGGCAGCAGUUAAGAAUAUUCCGCAAUGGACGAAAGUCUGACGGAGCGACGCCGCGUGGAUGAAGAAGGUGAAAAGUUGUAAAAUCCUUUUGUUGAUGAAGAAUAAGUAGAGGGAAUGAUCUGAUGACGGUAAUCCGAAUAAGCCCCG